GUGCUCGCUUUGGCAGCACGUAUACUAAAAUUGGAAUGAUACACAGAAGAUUGGCAUGGCCCCUGUGCAAGGAUAAAACACAAAUUCAUGAAGCGUUCCAUAUUUAA